GAUGAAAGGCCACCUGAUGAGCCAGCUGAGUCAAAGAGGAAAGGUUCACACAGCAGCGAGGAGGAAUCACAGCGCUAGGGCUUUCACAAUAAGAGCUUCAAUUCUACUUUCAAAUCAACUCGCAAUCAAAUGAUCAGGCGAAAGGUUCAUUUAAUGACGAGUAGAUCUGCUCGUUUACUCAUGCACAAGAAUCUUUGUACAGUGGAUGGUUCUCCAAGUACCUGCAUUUUUAUAUCCAAGUCGCAUUUAAAAGACAAAUAAAAUACAACGUGCUGACUGCCAGUCCAUCACACGGAUGAACAAAGAGAGACACACAAUCGUGCAGUUCACACCAGUUAACCUACACACAGGUCUUCUGCUUGCUGCACACUUUUUGUCUUUUUUUCUCGUCUGACUGGAGCGAUCGCUUGGCACUGGACCUUCGAAACACCAAUCAUGGAAAUGAUUAGCUGGUCUCUCAACGCAAUUGACAAGAUUGUCGCCACAAAGAGCACAGGCCUAGUGGAGCCUACCUGCCCGGAUGGGAGUUUCGCCUCUGGUUACAUGAUCGACGCCUGGGGGAAGUUGAAGGGGAUCAUGUGCCUGGCACCCCUAUCCGUGGAGGAUGUGGAAGAUGUUUAUAUAUUUGGAUUUAUGAUGACAGGUCUGCUGAUAAUUGGCUUGAUUGCAGGCCUGAGCUUCUGGAAAAUUAGGAUGGCCGCAGAGAAAAACGACGUCCAAACUCUGCUGAUCCUUGCAAAUGAUCGGAUGAAGGCUGCUGGUGUCCAGAAAGACAAACUCAAACGUAAGAUGGACAAUUUGCUUGGUGUGACUGUUGAUUUGAGUCGCAAAGUGGAUGCCAUCAAGGUGAGGAUCGCCACAGCUGAGGUCUAAAAAAAUUGAGAGCAGCCAGGGGGAAGGUGAAAUUGCUCCUCUCCCCCGCCAAAACAAGAAGGAUACUGAUAACAUUCUGGCACCCCUGGAACGAUAACAAACUCCUCUGGAAGUUUUCAUGGCCAAAAGAUAGCUCUCCUAAACCUCCCCACUUUCCCAAGGACAUUUGUUGACUUUUGGACUGGUCCAUCUGAGGACGUCUCCAUGGCAACCUGCUGUGUUAUCGCGCUUCCACCCCUGAGACAACCGGGGUCUGGGACAGGAGGAGAUUGGCUACACGCAUACACACACACUUGGACUCAUGAACUGAGGACUGAGCAUACAUCGACACACACAUGCCCAUUCCCCCCUCCCCCCACCCAGGCCGCCUCCAGAAGCUUCCCACUGGCGAUGCACAGUGGGCAGGAAUCCCGUGUGCAGCGCGCCACCAUUUGGCGCAGCAGUUGCAUAGGAGACCGACUACUGUGUGAAGCCACCCGUCCCAUUACCCUUCAUCCUUAUCCCAACUGACCUUGUCUCACGUCAUGCGGGUUUGUUUUUUUCAGGUUCCUUCUCAAAUUGAAUUUCCCAACUUGGAGGUUUAAUUUAGGUAUAAUGAACCUUUUUAUUUCAUUUUACCCUCUGCUAUUCCUACCUCGAUUCCAAAUUUUGUCGUUUUUUACUUUUCCUCAAGACAGGCGCACUCCCAACAGUGCAGCAGCCCGAGCUGCCAUUGGCAAGGCAGCUCAAAUGAAAUUUCAUUGUAUAUGAAAGUGUGCAAUGACAAUAAAGGUCUGAUUGAUUGAUUGAUUGAUUGAUUGAUUGAUUGAUUGAUUGAUUGAUUGACGGAUUGAUAUAAGUAUUUCAGCAAAAAUUGCGGUUAAAGCUGUCAUAAAUAUUAAACCAUAUGUUCGUUGUUAACACAAAAGUACGUCAAUUUGAUCGGUAACAAUCUGUAUUUUUUACAUCUAAUAAAUGCAGAAAUUGCCAUGUUA